AUGACAGAUCUUACAAGUGCCCCCUCUUUGUGCGCAAGGGUUUUGAAGGCUAGAUAUUUCAAGGAAGAUACAAUCAAGAAUCUAACUUGCCCGAAUCGGGACGUGCAUACUUUCAGGAGCAUAGUUUAUGGCCGUGAUUUGUUAAGGGAAGAGGCUCUAUCGAGAGGUUCCAAUAUCAACAUUCAUCAUGAUAAUUGGAUCCCAAAGAGUGGGAGUAUAAAACCUUUGGGCCAGGAGUAUGUGCAAGGUAUCACUAAGGUUCCUGCGCCGGCACCGGUUAAGCGUUGGAAGACAUCGAAGAUGGCAUGGGUUAAGGCCGACGCAGACGUCGUUGUCUCAAAGAACGGGGAGAAAACUGGCGGUGGUGUGGUUCUAUAUUCCAGAGUGCUCCUCCCAUCAUGCGCUACAUUCCCAACUGUUGCUCCCCCGGAAAUAAAUUUCAAACCAGCCUUUGCAGGUAUUCAGUAUAGUUUCAGGCCAGGUGACUCCUUCAGACGUCUCAUAGUAGGUUAUGAAAUUCCAACAAAAGAUCUCCCUGCAGAUGCUGGAUCUGACCCUCCUUCCAAAAAAAAUCGGGAUUUUACCCUUUCGCCUACCACCAGGAACCGUGGCGGUAGGAUUGUACAACCUACCGUCAGCGGCCCCGGCGCUCCUCUCCUCCCUCUCUCUCCCCCUCACAAACCCCCACUAGAUCCCCUCCAUUUGCUUGAGAUUUCACCGGUGGAUCCAGAUCAUUUUCAUCACCCAAGGGUUAGUGUUAGGGUUAGGGUUAGGGUUUGGGUUAUGUUGGGGGUUAGGGUUGUAGUUGAGACAUUUAUGCUUGGAAAUGACGAUGAAGGGGAAGAGGCUAUGGUUUCUGACACAAGUCCAAGCUUUGAUGAUUUUGUAGUUAAAGUGAGAAGCGUGUUAUAUUGGAAUGACCCAAAUGCCGAGGUUAAGCUUAUUGGGAGGAAAAAAGUAGACGCAUCACAAGACAAGUCUCUUGAGAUCUUUGCCACAAAGGUUGAUCCUCCGCCUCCCUUGCAAAUUGAUCUCAACCACAAUGCAUCCUCCCCAAUACAUGAUUAUAGUGCCGAGGUGUAUAUCCCCAAUUGUUCGAGACAACCACCAAGUAGCCAACCCAAUGAAGAUCAUAUCAAUGCUAGCGCCAUAGUACUCUGUCAUGAUGCUAUUCCUCAUGUUGAAGAAGAUGCUAGUGGUCAUGUUGAUGAUGAUGCUAUUGUUGCUCAAGAGGAUGCUUACGCGGAGAAUGAAGAGAUCCAUUACAAUCCAAUUGGUAAUUUGGAUGUCAUUGUGAGGCAACAAGAUAUGGACCGUACCCUCCCUUACAACCGUAUGUGUGGGUAUAACUCGGAUAACGAGGGUCCGAAGGAAGAAUUGGAUGAGGAUGGGUUGACUGCGCAAGAAAAUGAAAUCUACAAGAAGGUGACCGGCAAGGAGAGAGGGCCGCCGUUGUUUCGGGAUGUGAGUCUUGCGGACAAUGCCGUUGUUGAUGGUGGGCUGAGAUUCGGGUUUUCGGAGCCAACACCGUGCCCCAAAUUCAGUGAUCCUCAGCCACAAAAUGAGGAUGAGAAUGCACAUUUGAAGAGAGGCAUCAAGUUUGGUUCUUUGGUAGAGUUCAAGAUAUGGUUGUGUGACUAUGCCAUUAGGAACCAUAGGACGUUUGUUGUUGCUCAUUCCAAUCAAAAAGUUUGGUACACAGUCAAAUGUGACCAAGAAGGUUGCAAAUGGAAGGUCUGUGGUAGAAAAAUCAAAGAAACCGGGCAAUGGGUGUUGAAGAGUCAUGUUGGCAGUCACACGUGCGUACCCCCGGACAAGGCAGACCAAAGCAAAGGACACCGUCAACUCACGUCUGAGUAUCUAGGAUACAAAUUGUUGCAUCAAAUAGCACAUGAUCCAACCGUGAAGCUCAAGUUUCUCAUUUCUUCGAUUGAGGAACAAUUCGGAUACACGGUCAAGUAUGGGAAGGCAUGGAUGGCGAAGGAAACGCUAUUAGGAUGUUGCAUGGUGAUUAUGAGGCCGCAUAUAACAUUUUGCCCAAGAUGUUGGCAGCCAUUGCUCAUCGAAACCCGGGAAUGCGCCAUCGGGUGGAGUCAAUUGACGGUGUGUUUCGUCGUGCCUUCUGGAGCUUUGGACAAUGCAUUGAGGCAUUCAAAAGUUGAUAUUCUUGGUCUUCCAAAGCUUCACCACCGUUGGUGCAUGAGACACUUUGUUGCAAACUUUUAUCAGACAUGCAAGAGCAAGGAGUUUUGCAAAGACCUUACCCUAGUUUGUGUUGCAUUCAACACCGACACAUACAAAAGCCGAUAUGAUAAACUCCUCAAGACUUUAGAGAAGAACAAAGGGGGGAAAGAAUUUUUGCUUAGGCACGAGCCGGAUAAAGAAAAGUGGUCACGCGCUUACGAUGAAGGAGGUAUGCGGUAUGGGGACAUGACAAGCAACAUGGUGGAAUGCUUCAACAAUGUGUUGGAGGGUGUCCGUUCCUUGUCGGUGACCGCAAUACUCAAGUACACUUUCAUCAAGCUCAAUGAGUACUUCCUAAAGCAUUCAGAAAGCACGGCCAAGUGGAUCGGGGAGAAGAUGGACUAUCCAUUCAAGGUUCACGAUUGGCUGUCGCAUCAAGCGCGGAAGUCCUCCAAACAACAAGUGGUCAAAUAUAAUGAAAAAGAAAUAAUCUAUCAAAUCGAUGAGCCGGGUGGGACAACAAGGGACGGUAGGUCUUAUGGUGGAGUUGCUUACGAGCUGCACAUCAAAAACCGUUGGUGCCAGUGUGAGAGGCCACACAAGUAUCAUUGGCCUUGCUCGCAUUUGAUGACCGCAACACGGGCGAGAAACUUGCCCGUAUCCGAUGGCACAACGGUGCGGUUGCAUGAGUUCACAUUGGAACAAACAAGGUUGACGUGGGUGCCUCGGUUCAAUCCUUUCCUUGAUGCCUCACAGUGGCCUGAUUAUGUUGGGCCAGACAUUGUGCCAGAUCCCGCACUCAUGGUGCCUAUGAGGGGAAGAAGAAGAAAGAAGAGAUUCCGAAGUGAUAUGGAUGAUCUAGCUGGAUACACCGGAAUGAAGCAAUUUGGUAGUGGUCAUUUCAUGGAGCCACCGAAGAACAACAAUUGUGGAGAAUGCAAUGACACAGGACACAAUGUUAGGACAUGCAAGAAACCUAUAACCAACACAAGCACUAGUCAAACACGUGGACGGAGGACUAGCCUUGGAGAUGGCCGUGGCCGUGGAGGAAGGGCUAGCCUUGGAGGUGGCCGUGGUCGUGGAGGAAGUACUAGCCUUGGAGGUGGUCGUGGCCGUGGAGGACGGACUAGCCUUGGAGUGGGUCGUGGCCAUGGAUCCGGUGGUUCUAGGACACGUCGGGUUGAUAGGGGAAGGCCUAUCGACGUGUUGCUCAAUCCAGAUGGCAUGGCUUCAUCCGAUUCCAUGACGAGGCCACCGCGUGCUAACAAAGAAGAAAUGCCGCACAAGUGGGAGAACGCAUCUUUGGACAAGGUGAAGGAGAAAGAUGUGAAGAUUCCGCCAUGUUGGUGUGGAGAUGUUUGCAAGGUGAAGGUGUCCACCGACCAAAAGAAGUCAUGGACGGAAGGAAGGAGAUAUUUUGUAUGCCCCAACUAUGCUUAUGAUCGUGCGCUUCCAACUCAUGCCUAUGACCAACCACCGUCACUGCCUCCUCUAUGCAAGUACUUCACGUGGAUAGAUCAUGAAGUGCCAGAAGAUGUCCAGAAGGACCAAUAUCAAGAUUGUCUUAGGCGCCAGCGCCUGUUCGAAGAAAGGUUUCAAAGAGGCUUGGAGGAAGAGCGUCGUCAGAAGGAGAGGAUGGAGCGCAAGCAACGAGAGGAGGAGAGGGCACGCCAAGCAAAGCUUGCUCGUGAGGAGGAGAGGGCAAGAAAGCUUGCAAAGGCUCGCAAGGCACAAGAGGAGGAUGAGGCACGUGACAAGAAGGGGAAAUGGCCCCGUAUGACUAAGUAA
rnacentral:rRNA from 1 species